rnacentral:misc_RNA from 1 species
AACGCACAUUGCGCCCGCUAGUAUUCUGGCGGGCAUGCCUGUUCGAGCGUCAUUUCAACCAUCAAGCCCCUGAGCUUGCGUUGGGGCCCUGCGGCUGCCGCAGGCCCUUAAAUAUAGUGGCGGGCUCGCCGUUGCACCGAGCGCAGUAGCAUACCUCUCGCUCCGGACGUGGCGGCGGGCGCUGGCCGUGAAACCCCCAAACUCUUUAAAGGUUUGACCUCGGAUCAGGUAGGAAUACCCGCUGAACUUAA